GUGAUCUCUCGGGAGUUUUUGGUGAGCCUUGGUCCUCAGAAGGAGGAGGGCUGCUUAAAAUGAGGAGGAAGUAUAGACUCUGAUUCUGAACUUGGUUGUCUUGAACUUGUUAUAAGACCU